UACGUAGGCAGCAAGCGUUGUUCGGAGUUACUGGGCGUAAAGGGUGUGUAGGCGGUUCCUUAAGUUUGCUGUGAAAUCCCUGGGCUUAACCUAGGAACUGCAUCUCAUACUGAAUAGCUAGAGUAUUGUAGAGGGUAGUGGAAUUUCCGGUGUAGCGGUGAAAUGCGUAGAGGUCGGAAGGAACACCAGUGGCGAAGGCGGCUACCUGGACAAAUACUGACGCUGAGGCGCGAGAGCGUGGGGAGCAAACAGG
rnacentral:rRNA from 1 species